CUACGGGAGGCAGCAGUGGGGAAUAUUGGACAAUGGGGGAAACCCUGAUCCAGCCAUCCCGCGUGAGUGAAGAAGGCCUUAGGGUCGUAAAGCUCUUUCGCCUGUGAUGAUAAUGACAGUAGCAGGUAAAGAAACCCCGGCUAACUCCGUGCCAGCAGCCGCGGUAAUACGGAGGGGGUUAGCGUUGUUCGGAAUUACUGGGCGUAAAGCGCGCGUAGGCGGAUUAGAAAGUUGGGGGUGAAAUCCCGGGGCUCAACCCCGGAACUGCCUCCAAAACUGCUAGUCUAGAGUUCGAGAGAGGUGAGUGGAAUUCCGAGCGUAGAGGUGAAAUUCGUAGAUAUUCGGAGGAACACCAGUGGCGAAGGCGGCUCACUGGCUCGAUACUGACGCUGAGGUGCGAAAGUGUGGGGAGCAAACAGGAUUAGAUACCCUGGUAGUCCACACCGUAAACGAUGAAUGCCAGUCGUCGGGUAGUAUACUAUUCGGUGACACACCUAACGGAUUAAGCAUUCCGCCUGGGGAGUACGGUCGCAAGAUUAAAACUCAAAG
rnacentral:rRNA from 1 species